GACGAACCGUGCGAACGUUGUUCGGAAUCACUGGGCUUAAAGGGCGCGUAGGCGGGUCGAAAAGUCCGUGGUGAAAUCCCUCCGCUCAACGGGGGAACGGCCGCGGAUACUGUCGGCCUCGAGGGGGGUAGGGGCGAGCGGAACGCUGGGUGGAGCGGUGAAAUGCGUUGAUAUCCAGCGGAACUCCGGUGGCGAAGGCGGCUCGCUGGACCCCCACUGACGCUGAGGCGCGAAAGCCAGGGGAGCGAACGGG
rnacentral:rRNA from 1 species